rnacentral:lncRNA from 1 species
AAACCCAUAUUAUUGAACCAAUCCACUAGAUUGAAGUGCGCUGAAGCCGUACUAUAGUUAUAGUACGAAAGGCCCACCCUCCAAAAAAAAGCGAAUAGUCCGCCACGCGGCUUAACCUCGAUCACCCCCUCAGGAAUAGGAGGCAAUAAUAGAGCGCCCAAGCGAAGCGUCAAUUCUGUCAGAGAGUACUCCACCACGAGGGCCUCAGCCAAUCGUCACUCGCCAGCCCAAGACCAGUACAAAACCAUGUGAUCUGUCCCCGUUUACGUACCCCACUGGCUUCUUCAUUGAACAAAAGCGAGGGCUUUAGCACCGGUGUCGGCUUAGGGCUAAUAGCCUUAAAAGAGGCAGUACAAGGUCUACUUUCUGGGAAAGUUUCACCCAAUGACUUUAUCUCACUAUAUAUCUCACUGAACACAAUAUGCUACCAAAAAAGUGUUUUUGCUGCCCAUAUAGAGCAAGACUACUAUUAGACAGACGUGUCAUAUCUCAGAAAAGACCAGUGAAUAGCUGGAAUGUACUUCGUCGUUCAUAACAAAUAGAUUCACAGACGACGGAGACGAAGCGAGCGAUAAGAUCACGGCUGGUAUACGAGAGGGGUCUGCUUCCACAGUAAGGAUUGCCGCUUAGUCCAAGAUAAAACAAGGGACGACUUUGAAUGUAUAGAAUGCACCUUAGCUGGAGACCGGCAAUCUACUUAAUGAUCUAUGAGGGGGAAUCGAAGAGGGAGGUAAAUCCAGCCGAUUCCGAAUCGACCAAUACCACUGGAAGGCUAUUAAGUCCUUCCAUUCUAUAUAGUAGGCUUUUUCUUUUUGGCCAGCCUGAUUGAGAAGGCCGGACACACUUCGCCGGUCCUAAGCUAUCCAACCCCGCUAACUAGUCUUCCUUCUCUCAAAGUCAAGUUAGUAUUCAAAGUAGACGUGCCGUGAGAAGAAUAUAGAUGUAGGAGGAUCUGUCUAGAAACAGCAGUCGUUUUGAGAUGGAGUCCUUGGCGCCCACAUGCUCCACCGCUUACAAAGAGGCAAUAGUAGCUGCUCAACGUAUAGGAAUAGGCCUAAUCAAGUUCACUAGUGGAAGCCAGAGUCAAAGAGUAAAUAUCGAAAAGAUCAUCAGAGAGGAGACAAGCCAUUCUAAUAAACGUGAUUGAUCCAAUCGUCUAGUACUUCAAUUGAUAAGUGGAGCCCAUACAAAGAUAAGGAAGCAUAAGAACCAAGACCUCCUAUCCCUAUCCCCCACGAGAAAACACAGGCGAAAGGUAAACGCUAACGCCCCUUUAUUCAUUCAUUCCUAUGUUCCCUUAAUGUCUCACUAAUCCUUCUUUCUUUUAGGGACAAAAACCAACUCAUGAUAUUGGGGAAUCUUCGAAGAAAGCUAACAUACCAAGCGGUUCUCGUUCCUACUCUUUCAGGACCAAUGCAAUUCGAAGAAAUCCCUGAAGUAAAUGAAAAUGAGAUAGAGGGAUGGCCACUUCCAGAGGGCUGUGAAGGUUGGUCUACGAUCAGAAAGAUCAGACCAUACUUAUAAAACUUGAAUAGUAGGUCUUUCGGGUGAAGAAAAACUAAAGGAGGUUCCAAUAACUUCUCAAUAGGAGUAGAGUAAUCACUACUUACCUGGCAGAACUAAGAGUAAUAAUCCAAUACUGACUGAAGCCAGAAGCGAAGCUCUUAGCUCUCAGAAAAAAAGGAUUCUCCCUCGUCUAGUCGCUCCAGCUCGUCAGCAAGACGUUCUAUAAAGGACAUGUCAGGCCUACAAGCCUCGACUAGAUACCACACCAUCCCAAUUGGAUAAGGAUUAACCAGAAAUCCUUAAGGAAAACAAAAAAUGGCAAAGGG